UACGUAGGGGGCAAGCGUUGUCCGGAUUUAUUGGGCGUAAAGAGCGUGUAGGCGGCCAGACAGGUCCGUUGUGAAAACUCGAGGCUCAACCUCGAGAUGUCGAUGGAAACCGUCUGGCUAGAGUCCGGAAGAGGAGUGUGGAAUUCCUGGUGUAGCGGUGAAAUGCGCAGAUAUCAGGAAGAACACCUAUGGCGAAGGCAGCACUCUGGGACGGUCCUGACGCUGAGACGCGAAAGCGUGGGGAGCGAACAGG
rnacentral:rRNA from 1 species